CAGCCAUCAAAUCAGAGAAUAUUAGAGCUGUGAGGCACCUGGAGAUCUUUCUGGGCCAAACCCUUCAUUUUAUAGACAAAGAAACCGAGUCCCAGAUUGGCGAAGGGUCCCCUGAAGUUCCAGUGAUGUGUGAGGGGCUGGUUUUCCGUGGCUCCACCUCCUUCUUCUGUUUGGAUUUACUGGUGUAUUUCAGGAAUCACCGGCUGGGCUCCUCGCUUUAAACGUACGUCUUCAGAGUUGGAAACAGAAGCUACUGAAUUCUGUUGUUUUUGCUUAAAACGAGGUGGUAAAUGUU